CCGUACCAACGACUGAGAAUGGUAGUCAAUGCUAGUUACCCAAGUUACAGUUGACGUAGCAUAAGUUCCAAUGGUAAGGAAGGCAUAAAACCAACAUCUAUACACAACACAUUAAUAUUUUUUAUCUACCGUAAAACUCUGGGGCGGAGCGUAACAUAGGAAAUAAGAUACAGGCAACCUUUCUCUCACAGAUGCAGACUGGUUGACUCGUGUUGCAAGGAACAAACAUUCGAAAUGGAAUGUGUUUUGUAAUGGAAGUGAUACUCCUUUGGACCUUUAAGAGGUGAGUUCAGAGACAUCUAAUUAUGUCAAAAAGGCAGAUGGACUGAAUGUGCACUUGGCAAGAUAUCAAGGAAUGCUCAGAAUUAUGGUCAGAUAAUUUUAUUAAACAAAAUAAUGAUUCUUCUCUCCUACGAGAACAUAUUGUUACAUGUAUUGCACAUUAACAAAAAAAAAAACUAUAUUAAUACCUAAGUAUAGUGCAACCUCAAUAAUCAAAACUAAUUAAAGCACUGGUGUUUGGACUAUCAAAACAUUCAGAUUACUCAAACUGGAAUAAAAACUCAAAAUUUUUAGUAAAAUUAUUUAUUCAAAAGACUUGCAGUUACCUUUCAUAUAUAAAAAACUAGCACCUGCACACAUUUCACUACACACUGGGCUCCACGCCAGCAGUGACUGGUUUACAUCAUUCAUCACCUACAGAAUGAAGUUCACUGGCAAGUAACACCAUGUUUUACAAGAAUUAAUUUUUACUGCACAGAAGUAAAAUAUAUUGUGACAUG